rnacentral:rRNA from 1 species
ACUCCGCCGGGUUCAGGCCAGCAUCGGUUUUUCCGGGGGCAUAAAGGCGUCGGGAACGUAGCUCCUCCGGGAGUGUUAUAGCCCGUCGCACAAUACCCCCGGGGGGACCGAGGCCCGCGCAUCGCAAGGAUGCUGGCGUAAUGGUCACCAGCGA